rnacentral:rRNA from 1 species
UCGUGAAUCAGAAUGUCACGGUGAAUACGUUCCCGGGCCUUGUACACACCGCCCGUCACACCAUGGGAGUGGGUUGCUCCAGAAGUAGAUAGCCUAACCUUCGGGGGGGCGUUUACCACGGAGUGAUUCAUGACUGGGGUGAAGUCGUAACAAGGUAGCCCUAGGGGAACCUGGGGCUGGAUCACCUCCUUAAACGA